rnacentral:rRNA from 1 species
UAGGGAAUCUUCGGCAAUGGGGGGAACCCUGACCGAGCAACGCCGCGUGAGUGAAGAAGGUUUUAGGAUCGUAAAGCUCUGUUGUUAAGGAAGAACGAGUGUGAGAAUGGAAAGUUCAUACUGUGACGGUACUUAACCAGAAAGGGACGGCUAACUACGUGCCAGCAGCCGCGGUAAUACGUAGGUCCCGAGCGUUGUCCGGAUUUAUUGGGCGUAAAGCGAGCGCAGGCGGUUAGAUAAGUCUGAAGUUAAAGUCAGUGGCUCAACCAUUGUAGGCUUUGGAAACUGGUUAACUUGAGGGCAGAAGGGGAGAGGGGAAAUCCAUGUGUAGCGGUGAAAUGCGUAGAUAGAUGGAGGAACACCGGUGGCGAAAGCGGCUCUCUGGUCUGUAACUGACGCUGAGGCUCGAAAGCGUGGGGAGCGAACAGG